rnacentral:antisense_RNA from 1 species
GACGCGGUACGGCAGGGGCUCGGAGCGGGUCCAGGCGUCGAGGUCGAAGAACUGGCCGUCGCCGAUCACUUCGAGCACGGCAUCCUCGCCGUAGCGGCCGCUCACCCGCUUCUCGGCGCGGCCCUGGGCGAUUACCCACAGCUUGUCGUGGGCAUCGCCGUCCUGCGCCAGCAUCUGUCCGGCCUCGAAGCUGACUUCCGUGAAGGAGCCCGCGAGUUCGGAGAGCAGGGCGUCGUCGGCAUCCCGCAGAUACGGCAACUCCCGCAGGUCGCCGGGGAUGACGCGGGGCGAACCACCGUCGUUGUGGAUGCUGAUGCGAUCGUCGCCGAGGACGUAGGUCCGGCGGCGGUUGACGCGGAAGACACCGGCUUCCACAUCCACCCAUGGCAGGGCCCGCAGGAGAUAGCGCGGGGUGAUGCCGCGCAUCUGCGGGCUGGUCUUGGUCGUGGUCGCGAGUUGCCGUGCUGCAUCCGGGCUGAGACUAGUCUGGUCGUUCAUC